rnacentral:rRNA from 1 species
GACGAACGCUGGCGGCGUGCUUAACACAUGCAAGUCGAACGGAAAGACGCUGCGUUUGUUGGGUGCUCGAUUGGCGAACGGGUGAGUAACACGUGAGUAACCUGCCCUUGACUGUGUGAUAACUUCAGGGAACUGGGGCUAAUAUCGGAGAGGCUCUCCUGCUGCGUGGGGGUGGUUGGCGCAUUUCGGCGGUUGGGUCUCGCCUCGCGGCUUCUCCGCUUGUUUGUGGGGUAGUGGCUUACCAAGGCUUUGACGGGUAGCCUGCCUGAGAGGGUGACCGGCCACCUUGGGCCUGAGAUACGCACCAGUCGGCGACGGGCGGCAGCAGUGGGGAAGAGGGCGCAAUGGGGGGAAGCCGGAGGCAGCAACGCCGCGUGCGGGAUGCCCGCUUUCGGGUUGUAAACCGCGGGCGCCGGGGACGAAGCGUGCGUGACGGGACGGGGGCAAGAAGCACCGGCUAACUACGUG